AUUGAACGCUGGCGGCAGGCGUAACACAUGCAAGUCGAGCGGAGAUGAGGUGCUUGCACCUUAUCUUAGCGGCGGACGGGUGAGUAAUGCUUAGGAAUCUGCCUAUUAGUGGGGGACAACAUUCCGAAAGGAAUGCUAAUACCGCAUACGUCCUACGGGAGAAAGCAGGGGAUCUUCGGACCUUGCGCUAAUAGAUGAGCCUAAGUCGGAUUAGCUAGUUGGUGGGGUAAAGGCCCACCAAGGCGACGAUCUGUAGCGGGUCUGAGAGGAUGAUCCGCCACACUGGGACUGAGACACGGCCCAGACUCCUACGGGAGGCAGCAGUGGGGAAUAUUGGACAAUGGGGGGAACCCUGAUCCAGCCAUGCCGCGUGUGUGAAGAAGGCCUUAUGGUUGUAAAGCACUUUAAGCGAGGAGGAGGCUACUGAGACUAAUACUCUUGGAUAGUGGACGUUACUCGCAGAAUAAGCACCGGCUAACUCUGUGCCAGCAGCCGCUGUAACAC
rnacentral:rRNA from 1 species